rnacentral:rRNA from 1 species
UACGGAGGGGGCUAGCGUUGUUCGGAAUUACUGGGCGUAAAGCGCGCGUAGGCGGACCUGCAAGUCGGGGGUGAAAGCCCGAGGCUCAACCUCGGAACUGCCUUCGAAACUGCGGGUCUCGAGUCCGGGAGAGGUGAGUGGAAUUCCUAGUGUAGAGGUGAAAUUCGUAGAUAUUAGGAAGAACACCAGUGGCGAAGGCGGCUCACUGGCCCGGUACUGACGCUGAGGCGCGAAAGCGUGGGGAGCAAACAGG